AGCCCAUGGAAAGGGCAGAGUCUUAACAAGUCCUUGAAACGUUCUCAUGCAUCAAAUAAGAAUUCCCUCUCUUCUUGUCUAAAAUUAUUUAUCUCAUUCCUAAAUUGGGU